GCCUUUAACUUAUAAAACCACACCUUGGUUAUCAUGUCUAAAUAAAAUAUCAUUUUGAUAAUAUAGUGGUCCUAAUCAGUACCAUUCUUGCAAUGGUUAAAGUCUUAACAAUAUAAUUAUGACAACGCUUGUACACAUUGAAAUUACUGGUUUAUUUACAUUUGUAGAUAGUUAUUCGCGCGCGGGCCUCGUUAAUAUGCAUGUAUUACAAAUCUUCAAUAUAUAUCCCCCCUCCCCCCGCCCAAUAAUUUCCUCGUCCAGGAUUGUAUUUCAUAGAAAACUGAAUGAUUUGAAGUUACUAUAAAGUGUCUGUAUAAUAGUUUCGCGAAAGUUCUCGAUGGACGAAAAUAAAUGUUCGAUAAAUAAAUACUCCAACUUCAUGACCGUCGGGCAAUUUUGAGCCCUUUGGGAACGCCUGAUUGGUUGAUGGAUUUCGUUGGAUGGAUCGUUGUCACUGGUUGCCAUAUGGAAAGUGGGUGGUUAUAUUAUCAUCGCGAGUUGAUGUUGAGAUGGAGGUUGCGUGUGGGUCAAAGACAGCCUGCGUGCAGUCGCAUUAGGUCGUCUAAUGAUGGGUUAAAGGGAUAUGGCAAUAUCAAUUAAGUUUGUCUUAUUUCAAAGAACUAAUUUAAAAUGAUAUAUAAACUUCCUUUACAAU